UGGGGAAUCUUGGACAAUGGGGGCAACCCUGAUCCAGCGAUGCCGCGUGAGCGAAGAAGGCCUUAGGGUUGUAAAGCUCUUUCGCCCGCGACGAUGAUGACGGUAGCGGGAGAAGAAGCCCCGGCUAACUCCGUGCCAGCAGCCGCGGUAAUACGGAGGGGGCUAGCGUUGUCCGGAAUUACUGGGCGUAAAGCGCGCGUAGGCGGUCCACCAAGUCGGGGGUGAAAGCCCGGGGCUCAACCCCGGAAUGUCCUCCGAGACUGUUGGACUGGAGUUCGGGAGAGGAGAGCGGAAUUCCCAGUGUAGAGGUGAAAUUCGUAGAUAUUGGGAAGAACACCGGUGUCGAAGGCGGCUCUCUGGCCCGCAACUGACGCUGAGGCGCGAAAGCGUGGGGAGCAAACA
rnacentral:rRNA from 1 species